AGUAAGAGGAAAAUCCGUCGACUUUCAAGAUCGUGAGGGUUCAAAUCCCUC
rnacentral:tRNA from 63 species